rnacentral:rRNA from 1 species
CGGCGGACGGGUGAGUAAUGUCUGGGAAACUGCCCGAUGGAGGGGGAUAACUACUGGAAACGGUAGCUAAUACCGCAUAACGUCGCAAGACCAAAGAGGGGGACCUUCGGGCCUCUUGCCAUCGGAUGUGCCCAGAUGGGAUUAGCUAGUAGGUGGGGUAACGGCUCACCUAGGCGACGAUCCCUAGCUGGUCUGAGAGGAUGACCAGCCACACUGGAACUGAGACACGGCCCAG